ensembl:rRNA 5S_rRNA 5S ribosomal RNA
GCCAGCAGCCAUAUCACCCUUUAACUCAACAACAGGCAACCCACUGAAGCUAAGCAGGAGUGAGCCUGGUCAGUACCUGGAUGGGAGACCUCCUGGGAAAAACUAAGGUUGCUGCUGGAA